UCUUUUCCUUUUGUGCCCGCCGCCGCGGUAAUACGUAGGGGGCAAGCGUUAUCCGGAUUUACUGGGUGUAAAGGGAGCGUAGACGGAGCAGCAAGUCUGAUGUGAAAACCCGGGGCUCAACCCCGGGACUGCAUUGGAAACUGUUGAUCUGGAGUGCCGGAGAGGUAAGCGGAAUUCCUAGUGUAGCGGUGAAAUGCGUAGAUAUUAGGAGGAACACCAGUGGCGAAGGCGGCUUACUGGACGGUAACUGACGUUGAGGCUCGAAAGCGUGGGGAGCAAACAGG
rnacentral:rRNA from 1 species